UACGGGGGGAGCAAGCGUUGUUCGGAUUUACUGGGCGUAAAGGGCGCGUAGGCGGCGCGACAAGUCACUUGUGAAAUCUCCGGGCUUAACCCGGAGCGGCCAAGUGAUACUGUAGUGCUAGAGUGCGGAAGGGGCUACUGGAAUUCCCGGUGUAGCGGUGAAAUGCGUAGAUAUCGAGAGGAACACCUGCGGCGAAGGCGGGUAGCUGGGCCGACACUGACGCUGAGGCGCGAAAGCCAGGGGAGCGAACGGG
rnacentral:rRNA from 1 species